rnacentral:rRNA from 1 species
AUUGAACGCUGGCGGCAGGCCUAACACAUGCAAGUCGAGCGAGCGGCGGACGGGUGAGUAAUGUAUGGGGACUGCCCGAUAGAGGGGGAUAACUACUGGAAACGGUGGCUAAUACCGCAUACUAUCGGAUAACCCAUAUGGGAUUAGCUAGUAGGGGGGGUAAAGGCUCACCUAGGCGACGAUCUCUAGCUGGUCUGGGAGGCUGAUCAGCCACACUGGGACUGAGACACGGCCCAGACUCCUACGGAGGCAGCAGUGGGGAAUUGUGCACAAUGGGCGCAAGCCUGAUGCAGCCAUGCCGCGGGUAUGAAGAAGGCCUUAGGGUUGUAAAGUACUUUCAGCGGGGAGGCGUUACUCGCAGAAGAAGCACCGGCUAACUCCGUGCCAGCAGCCGCGGUAAUAC